rnacentral:lncRNA from 1 species
AGUCCUUACGCGGUGCCAGAGACUAUAAGUGGGCUUGAGCUCGACCGCGCGCCUGUGGAAGUUCUUUCUCUACUCGAAAAAGGGAAAGCAUUUCCUUGAGUUUGCGUUUUAAGGGAAACUUACAGCAUUGACACUUUAUUUAAAAUAUUCACUACUGCUGUAGAAAAAAAAAAACAAAACCCCGAAAAACAGUGGGGCUGUUUCUAAGACGCUGGGAAUCAGUAAAGAAUAGUGAUCCGGGAGAUACAGGAAGCAAAUGAUCUGCGCUCAAAAAGCGAGCUGCUUUCAAAGAUAUUAGUAUUUUAUAGAUGCGAUGCAGGAGAGUGAACUCAAGCAGAGCCCAGCCGAUUGCCUGCGUUGGCAAAAUAGAACAGAUAUUCUGGGGAGACCAAGCAAACAGCUUUCAAAAAUGAAGACUAACUAGGCUGGAUGCAGUGGCUCACACCUAUAAUCCCAGCACUUUGGAAGGCCGAGGUGGGCAGAUCACGAGGUCAGGAGAUCAAGACCAUCCUGGCUAACACAGUGAAAUCCCCCGUCUCCACUAGAAAUACAAAAAUUAGCCAGGCGUGGUGGCGGGCACCUGUAGUCCCAGCUACUCGGGAGGCUGAGGCGGGAGAAUGGCAUGAGCCUGGGAGGUGGAGGUUGCAGUGAGCCAAGAUCGUGCCACUGCACUCCAGCCUGGGUGACAGAGCAAGACUGUCUC